CAGCAGAGUGAAUAGCAUAACCUAGAACUUCAUAUGUUUUUAAUAAAGUUAUGUACAAAAUGGCUCCUUUGUACAUAAAUCUUCUUGGCAUCGUAAAAAUUUUUACAAAAUGUUCAUAUAAACUUUUAUUGACUUGAGAAAAUAUAGAAAGGACAGAGAUGGGACGAUAAUUACUGAUAUUGGAUCUGUCGCCUUCUUUAUGGAUAGGGGUAACCCUGGCAAGUUUUAAACUUUCAGGAAAAUACCUUAAUGGAUAGAUGCUCUGAAAAUUUUAAAAAAAUAUAUUAUUUAAUUGUUCGUGGCGAUCCAAUUUCAGUGAAAUAUUUAUUGAAUUCAUGAGCUAUUAUUUGUGCUUCGUACAAGCUAUUGUUAUCGACUUUAAGCAUUUGCGGCAAAGAGCAUGAGCAUGUUUUUUGUUUUCCAGUAAUUUUUUUCAAUACUUCCCAAGUGCUUUUUGAGU